rnacentral:ncRNA from 1 species
UAUUCGGCUAUGACGAGAAAGAGUACCCGGAAAGAAUGCUGCAGAGAGCUGCCGGAUGGUGCAAGGCAGUGCAGGGUGUCCGUGGGAAGAUCCUCUCCGAGCUUUCCGGCUGAAUGGGCGGCAUCUGCGCCCCAGUAAGCGGGAACGGCAGGCCCCCGUUAUCACGGGCCGCGCAUUGUUGGAUGCGCACUGAGGGGCCGGGCUUUGCACCGGCAAUAAGAGUGGUACCGCAGAGGAUCUACGCCUUUGUCUCUUAC